UAAGUUCUGUUAAUAUCAAGGCUCAACCUUGGGAAGGCAGGAAACUGGCUCGCUAGAGCAUAGUAGAGGUAACUGGAAUUUCUAGUGUAGGAGUGAAAUCCGUAGAUAUUAGAAGGAACACCGAUGGCGUAGGCAGGUUACUGGGCUAUUGCUGACACUAAGGCACGAAAGCGUGGGGAGCGAACGGGAUUAGAUACCCCGGUAGUCCACGCCCUAAACGAUGCAUGCUA
rnacentral:rRNA from 1 species